rnacentral:rRNA from 1 species
UACGUAGGUGGCAAGCGUUGUCCGGAAUUAUUGGGCGUAAAGCGCGCGCAGGCGGCUACUUAAGUCUGGUGUGAAAGCCCACGGCUCAACCGCGGAAGGGCCUUGGAAACUGGGUGACUUGAGUGCAGAAGAGGAGAGCGGAAUUCCACGUGUAGCGGUGAAAUGCGUAGAGAUGUGGAGGAACACCAGUGGCGAAGGCGGCUCUCUGGUCUGUAACUGACGCUGAGGCGCGAAAGCGUGGGGAGCAAACAGG